GUGACCUCAAAUCAGGUAGGACUACCCGCUGAACUUAAGCAUAUCAAUAAGCGGAGGAAAAGAAACUAACAAGGAUUCCCCUAGUAACUGCGAGUGAAGCGGGAAAAGCUCAAAUUUAAAAUCUGGCGGUCUUUUGGCUGUCCGAGUUGUAAUCUAGAGAAGUGUUAUCCGCGCUGGACCGUGUACAAGUCUCCUGGAAUGGAGCGUCGUAGAGGGUGAGAAUCCCGUCUUUGACACGGACAACCGGUGCUUUUGUGAUGCGCUCUCGAAGAGUCGAGUUGUUUGGAAUGCAGCUCAAAAUGGGUGGUAAAUUCCAUC
rnacentral:rRNA from 1 species